CAAAGAUUUUUUGUCAGCUUUUUCCCGUUUUAUCCAUUUCAUACAGUAAGCAUGGAGUGAGUCGUGGAUGAUAUUACGACACUCAUUCCAAUUAAUAAUUGACGGGGGACGAUAUUUAGGUCCUUUACUGAGGAAUGAUUUUAACUCUCGGUCUUGAACGAUGUUAAGAUCUCCUGUUAUAACAUGGGAAAUGGGUCCAUAAAUAUAUUCGGAGGUACUACAAUUACAUGAAGUAGGUGUAUUUUCACUGAUAUUAACAUCUUUACACAGUUGACUAUAAUUAAACACAUAUUUCCGGGUAAAUUUCUUGUAAAUAUAACAAAUAAGAGGUAGCUCAGUAUUGUCAAAAUAUCCAGGAAUUUGUUCUUUAACAGAAUGGUCGUUAAAUAUACCGGC
rnacentral:lncRNA from 1 species